UCUGACGAACAUCCCCUCGUAUUUUGAGGCGACCAUGUUCGUUCCCUUUCUUGUAAAUCAAUUCUUCUUUUUUGCAUUAUCACACUUUCAAAACAACUUUUCCCUUUUUUCGAUCCUCACAUUCUUAUUCUUUUUCCCCACAAUGUGAAUAAUUCUACAAAAUUCAGAAGUUUACCCCUCUUUAACGGCUACAUUUUUCUCUCCUCUCCUCUUCUUGUCUCCAAUGCCCUCAAUCUCAGCAAUCUUGCCCAAAUUAACAAACCCUACUCUCUCUUCUCUCUCUGUAGUUUACUGAUCGGAAUGAAGCACUUCAUGCAGCCAAGAAACACAAUCUUGAUAGAGACCCACUCAAGUGAGUCGCCAUCUUCGUCGUCUCCAAAUCCUAAUUCAAAAUUAAAGUCAUCGCAGAAGCAAAAGUCAUCCAAAGAAAACGCUCCGCUGUCAGAUCUGAACUCACUUCUUCCACCUUCUCUGGCAUCUUCCAAGAUUAAGAGUCCGCUGCCCCCAUGCCCGCCCAAUCCCCUCAAGCGCAAGCUCGCCACUGAUACAUUUCCCGAGAAUGUAAUGGUUGGGGUCCACAACUCAGUCCAAUUGCGACCUGUAAAUAAGGAAGAGGAACAAGGGGAGAUGAUAGUACAGAAAGUUGGCAAUGAUGCUUUGAAAAUCAAUGGACAGACAUUCACAUUUGAUUCAGUUGCUGACAUUGAUUUGACACAGCUGGAUGUUUUCCAGCUUGUUGGUCUCGCUCUCAUUGAAAAUUGUUUAGCUGGAUUUAACAGUUCAGUGUUUGCCUAUAGGCAGUGCGAUGAAGUGUAUCUAAGACAGGGAAGACCACCACACCAAUUGAGCCUCAGGUUAAUGGUGUUGACUUAGCUGAAAUUGCAGGUGGGGAAGUUGCAAUAAUUCAUGCAAUGGUCCUGAGUUUGUCUUACAACUUAACUUUUCCCUUAAACUUGGUUGUUCUACAGCCAAAGGUUCAUGGACAUCUCAAGAAGCAAGUGCACACUUAAAAUGUGUUUAUUUUCCAGUUACGGAGGGGGGAGAGAGCAUUGAAAUUAUUAUAGAGAAGUUAAAUUCUAAAGGAUGCAGAGUUCCUGAAAACUAUGAAACUUUCAGUCGUGUUGCUAUCUGUUGUCUUGGUCGUCUUCUUCCAGAUGCUCGCUGGGCAUGACUUCCUUUUAUGGAUUUAAGGCAAAAAAGGGAGAUAAGGCUUACCUACUAAGAGAUGUUGCUCAAGAGCAGAAUGCUUCAUUGAUACUGAUACUGGUUUUAAUCCAGCGCCUUCUAAGACGGAUCUAGCACACCAGAAUCCAUUUACCAUAGCUUUGAAGAAUUUUGGUGUUAUUACUUGUAAGGAAGACAAAGAUAUCAAUGUUGAAAUUUAUAGAGCUGGAAAACUAUUAACUCCUUUGCAACUGGAAAAGGAAUAUCAAGACUAGCUUCUGCAGAUGUAUGAUCAUUAUGAUGAACAAAAUAACUUUGGAGCAGAUCAACCAAUUUUUAUCAUUAGCCCCAAAAACAAAAAGUCACUGGGCAUUUCAUUUGAUGUUGCAAGGGUGCACCAAGUACUAAAGAGGAAGGGUUUAACAGGGAAAAGAGGUCAAAGAGUUAAGGUUUUCAAGGGAGCAUGUGCUGGAGUUCAUAAAAACAAUAUCUAUGCAACAAUAGAUUAUUUUUUAAUUGAAGGUCUUCGUGGGGAUGCUGCUGGUAGGCACUGGUUUUAAGACUCUUAGACUUAUAGACCAUGACUAUUAGUUUGCUUUUUAUCAUUUCGUAAUAGGACAAAUGUAUUGUUGACAUGUUUACAUAAUUUAAUCUUCUUGCAAAUUUGAUAAAUUUCACCCUCCCUUUUUUACAUUUCUAAUAGGUGAUGCUCGAAUUAUAUGCAGGCCAAUAGGUCUCAUGGAUAAGGAAGGAUGUGUCCUCGUGGAGAACAAUGGGACUGAUAGCUUGGAUAUUUUUGGCAACUUAUUGUUACCUAUUGGCAUAAUUGAU